AUUGAACGCUGGCGGCAGGCCUAACACAUGCAAGUCGAGCGAGCGGCGGACGGGUGAGGAAUGUAUGGGGACUGCCCGAUAGAGGGGGAUAACUACUGGACACGGUGGCUAAUACCGCAUACUAUCGGAUAACCCAUAUGGGAUUAGCUAGUAGGUGGGGUAAAGGCUCACCUAGGCGACGAUCUCUAGCUGGUCUGAGAGGAUGAUCAGCCACACGGGGACUGAUAAACGGCCCAGAAUCCUACGGAGGCAGCAGUGGGGAAUAUUGCACAAUGGGCGCAAGCCUGAUGCAGCCACGCCGCGUGUAUGAAGAAGGUCUUAGGUUUGUAAAGUGCUUUCAGUGGGGAAGCGUUACCUAAAGAAGAAGCAACGGCUAACUCCGUGCCAGCAGCCGCGGUAAUUC
rnacentral:rRNA from 1 species